rnacentral:rRNA from 1 species
AGAGAGAGACAUGCGCGCAUAUCAAUAAGCGGAGGAAAAGAAACUAACUAGGAUUCCCUCAGUAACGGCGAGUGAAGCGGGAAGAACUCAAAUUUGAAAUCUUCAAGGCUCUACCUUGACGAAUUGUAGUUUAAAGAAGUGUUUUCUGUUGGAGUUUUGGUAAAAGUUCUUUGGAAUAGGACAUCAUAGAGGGUGAGAAUCCCGUAUUUGACCAUUAUUUCCAGCUUUGUGAUACACUUUCAAGGAGUCGGAUUGUUUGGGAAUGCAGUCCAAAAUGGGUGGUAAAUUUCAUCUAAAGCUAAAUAUUGGCGAGAGACCGAUAGCGAACAAGUAUCGUGAGGGAAAGAUGAAAAGAACUUUGAAAAGAGAGUUAAACAGUACGUGAAAUUGUCAAAAGGGAAGCGCUUGACACCAGUGUUGUUUUCUCGAAAAUCAAUUAAAAAAGGCAGGAUUUUGUGUUGUAUUGACUUUAUCAGCUUUCUGCACUCUUUUCUUGUCUUUUUUAAUGCACUUUUCGUUAACAAGUCAACAUCAAUUUCUUUUGUUGUAAAAGGGUCAUUGGAAGGUGGCUUUCUUUUCGGAGAAAGUGUUUAUAGCCUUUGGCCUCUGCAAUCGGAGAGAUUGAGGUCUGCAGCGUAGAUCCUUCGGGGUUAGAUACAUUUGUGCUAAGUUAUAGCCUUUCAUAGACAACUUGUUGACUAUGAUCAGUCAUGUAGCUUACUCGCUUAUGCUAUUUUACCUACGCUUAGGAUGUUGAUGUGAUACUGCGAGCA